AUUGAACGCUGGCGGCAUGCCUUACACAUGCAAGUCGAACGGCAGCACGGGUGCUUGCACCUGGUGGCGAGUGGCGCACGGGUGAGUAAUACAUCGGAACAUGUCCUCUAGUGGGGGAUAGCACGGCGAAAGCCGGAUUAAUACCGCAUACGAUCUACGGAUGAAAGCGGGGGACCUUCGGACCUCGCGCUAUAGGGUUGGCCGAUGGCUGAUUAGCUAGUUGGUGGGGUAAAGGCCUACCAAGGCGACGAUCAGUAGCUGGUCUGAGAGGACGACCAGCCACACUGGAACUGAGACACGGCCCAGACUCCUACGGGAGGCAGCAGUGGGGAAUUUUGGACAAUGGGCGAAAGCCUGAUCCAGCAAUGCCGCGUGUGUGAAGAAGGCCUUCGGGUUGUAAAGCACUUUUGUCCGGAAAGAAAUCCUUGGCCCUAAUACGGUCGGGGGAUGACGGUACCGGAAGAAUAAGCACCGGCUAACUACGUG
rnacentral:rRNA from 1 species